AUAAGAAAAAAAUUGAUAAGCUGGCCGCAUCCUUAAUUGCCCCUUCAAUUUCUCCAAACGCCUCUGUCUCUCCUCUUCCUUAAAAAUAUAAAAAAUACUUAAAACAUAUACUACUAAUAAAAGUAAUUAAGGAUAAUUAAGAAAAUUUUAAAAACUGUUUUCCAUAAUUUAGUCGUUAUUUUCAUUGAUGAACCAUAGUUUAGUUUUCAUCUCAUUUUCAAACUCAUAAAAAAACUCAAAUUUCUCUCUUCGCCAUCGAUUUAAGGUAAGCCAACUCUCUUCACUUUUUUGUUUGCUCAUAAAAAUCAAAUUCAAACUCAUAAACGAAACUCAAUUUUCAUUUUCGUUUGCUCUCAAUUUCAUUUUCGUUUGCUCUCAAUUUUCAUUUUCGUUGCUCUCUUCGCCAAUUUCAUUUCCGUUUGCUCUCAAUUUCAUUUUCAUUACAGAUAAUUUGAAGAUCACUCUAAUGUCUUCACAUAAAAAAAAAGAGAAUUUAUUGAAUGAGAAAGCUUCAUUGUCUAACACUGUAAAUAAGCUUCAAAGAGAUGUUUCAAAGUUUGAGGUGUUUAGAAAGACCCUUAUGAAGUCACUUCAAGAUAAGGAAGAAGUCGGGAGGUGUGCCUAUUGCCAAGCCAACACCAACUGGUAUGUAUUUUUACUUUUUACUGGUUGCAGCCGAUUAUGGGGUGUUAAUUUCUAUUCCACAUACUAUGAAAUCUGAGAUCUUUAUCGGUUCAUUCUGAUUAUGCAUAUGUCAUUUGCAUUUUAAUGGAGGUUUGGGCAUGUUGAGUAACGAAAGCAGGCUAAGAAAUCAAUACUAAUAGGCAAAAGCCUGAAACUUCCAAUGCUUCGACAUGGUUCGUUCUAUGUUGAUAUGAAAGGCUAUGGUGUUUUAUAUAUUAAAUGAAAUGCGAAGUCUUGAUUGUCUUCUCGACGUCUAACUAUUUAUAUUUUUGAUAUUAUUUUAGUUUUUUCGUAAUUUAAUUGCCAUCUCGGAGAAAUUCUGAUUCUUAUUUGAUUCAGAAGAUGAUACUUUGACGCAACCUACAAGCUUCAAUGCAGAGCCAAUUCUCUGAAAUUGGAAAUUCACUUGCAGAGGAUUUUGAAGUAGAUGGUAUGCCAAUUAUUUUUGUUUCUGAAUGAAUCUCUUAAUGUGCAAUUCUUCCUUUAUGUUGUUUUUGUGUUUAUUGGUUCAUUCUCUGAAUGAAUCUCUUAACUACACUAAAUAAGGUACACUCACAGACAAUGGAACAAAGAAGACCGAUUAUUUUAAAGGCACAUAGCCAGAGACACAGUUAAGGCUUUGCUCAAGUAUUGGAGUUCCGAGUUUGUGAAGGCAUUUUUAAUUUUUUCAACAAAAUAAAGAAGAUUCUUCUUCUACUGCAGUAUGCAUUCUUUGGUGAAGAACUUGAUGAGAUAAUUGAAUUAGAUGGAUUAGACGACGAAGAAGACGAGUUAUUACCAGUUGUUGCUUAUGAUUUCGAACCAGAGAAAGAAGAGGAGCUUCUGUUUGGUAGAGGAGAUGCUUUGCUGUACAUUGCAGCCGAAGUAUGAAGCUUUUAUUGCUUUCGAUAAAGAGAUUGAUACUCGUUCUCUCCUAAAUGAAAGGAGAACUUCACUAGUUCAAAUCCAUCAGGUAAUAGUAAUCUCAUUGUCUUUUCUUUUCCUCUUACUUUCUAACACUAGUUUUUCUGCAUCGACUUCACUUAUGUCAAUUUUAUUUCCUUGUAGUUGUAUCUCCUAUUAGCAACUCUUCGUUUAGACAACGGAUAUCAAGAUGAUAUUCGUGGAAAAUAAUUCCGUAGCAGAAAAGAUGCUCUGUAUAAUCGUUAUUUUUGAUGAAUAUUUUGGUGAACAUUUUUUGUUUGUGAUGUAAUGGAUGGAUGAUAUAUUUUCCGAUUUUGAAUUGUAUGACUAUUUUCCAUUUUUCAAUUUUGGUGAAUAUUUCUCGUU